AUACUUGCUUUGCCUGUAUGUAUAUAUGCUAAAACUGGAGUGACAUAGAGAAGAUUACCAUGGCUCCUGCGCAAGGAUGGCAAAUUGAACACACACACACACACACACACA